rnacentral:rRNA from 1 species
CCUACGGGAGGCAGCAGUAGGGAAUUUUCGGCAAUGGGCGAAAGCCUGACCGAGCAACGCCGCGUGAACGAAGAAGGUCUUCGGAUUGUAAAGUUCUGUUAUAGGGGAAGAACGGUGUACGUAGGAAAUAACAGACAAGUGACGGUACUCGGUGAGGAAGCCACGGCUAACUACGUGCCAGCAGCCGCGGUAAUACGGAGGGUGCGAGCGUUAUCCAGAAUUACUGGGCGUAAAGAGGUAGCAGGCGGCCUGUAGGGUCUAUUGUUAAAAGCCAGUGGCUUAACCAUUGAAAGGCGAAGAAACCGGCAGACUAGAGUUCUAGAGAGGAUAGUGGAAUUCCAUGUGUAGCGGUGAAAUGCGUAGAUAUAUGGAGGAACACCAGUGGCGAAGGCGACGAUCUGGCAAGAAACAGACGCUGAGUCGCGAAAGCGUGGGGAGCAAAUAGGAUUAGAUACCCGGGUAGUC